AACGAACGCUGGCGGCAUGCCUAACACAUGCAAGUCGAACGAGACCUUCGGGUCUAGUGGCUCACGGGUUCGUAACGCGUGGGAACCUGCCCUUAGGUUCGGAAUAACUCCCCGAAAGGGGUGCUAAUACCGGAUAAUGUCUUCGGACCAAAGAUUUAUCGCCUUUGGUUGGGCCCGCGUUGGAUUAGCUAGUUGUUAGGGUAAAAGCCUACCAAGGCGACGAUCCAUAGCUGGUCUGAGAGGAUGAUCAGCCACACUGGGACUGAGACACGGCCCAGACUCCUACGGGAGGCAGCAGUGGGGAAUAUUGGACAAUGGGCGAAAGCCUGAUCCAGCAAUGCCGCGUGAGUGAUGAAGGCCUUAGGGUUGUAAAGCUCUUUUAACCGGGAUGAUAAUGACAGUACCGGGAGAAGAAGCUCCGGCUAACUCCGUG
rnacentral:rRNA from 1 species